rnacentral:rRNA from 1 species
GACAGAGGUGCCGAGCGUUAGGCGGAAUCACUGGGCUUAAAGCGUGUGUAGGCGGACUUCUAAGUACCUUGUGAAAUCCCACGGCUCAACCGUGGAACUGCUUGGUAUACUGGUCGUCUUGAGCCACCUAGGGGCAACCGGAACAAACGGUGGAGCGGUGAAAUGCGUAGAUAUCGUUUGGAACGCCAAUUGUGAAAACAGGUUGCUGGGGGUGUGCUGACGCUGAGACACGAAAGCCAGGGGAGCAAACGGG